CGCGCUCACUCACAAUCGCACCGGCCCGGGGCUUCCCGCGCCGCCUCCGGUACGUGGGCGGGAGACACGCGGCCCACGCGGCCGGGCUCAGGCAGCUAUGGAGACGCGCACCACGCCGACACCUGCACGCGCACUGUGACACGCGCCAUUCUGACACACGUGUGCUCUCACACUCCCCGACACCGGAGCCGCACGCGCUCGCACCCACACUCACCUGCCGGGACCACGUGGGAGGACUGGAGGGGCUGAUCCUCACCGUGCAACCGCAGUAGCAACGAUGCUGGAAUUUUUUUUUAACUCCCUCGCUGACUGGGCUGGACUGUCAACUCCAUGGCGUCGGGAACCAAGUCUGAGAUGGCUCAGCAAUGCCUAGCACACAACUGGGGCUCCUUACGCCCCUGUCGAAUAAGGAGAAAAAAAAACAACAAACAAACAAACAAAAAAACACUGUUCCUUGCUGUGUCUUUGGUGAGUUCCUGGAGAUGGAGAUCCAGUAGCUACUAGAAACCAGUCUGGCCUUUGAUGUUGGCAGCGCCGUAUGUACACUGAAAAUACACACCCAGUAGUAGGGACUACAGGUAGUCAUCUUGGAUCUAAAAGGUAAGAACUUGAAAAUGACUCAAAGCAGGUAAAAGAACAUAAAAAGAAACCAGGAUCUGGUCCCAGUGUAUGAGUCCUGUUCUAAGCUCCAUCCAAAGCCAGCAUGUCCACCUCCUGUUCUUAACUACAUUCGUCAAUAAAUUACCUUUUUUUGCUUAGACAGGUUGUGUUUUCUGCUGUUUGCAGUUAAGAAAGUCCUAAGGCAUUUGAUCCUUUUAAUUUGUUAGAGUAAUAUGCUGUUAUAAACAUAGGAUGUAACUUAAAAAAAAUGAGAGGUAGAAACACAAUUGUACAACUUAACAAAUUGUUAUAAAACUCAACUAUUUAACUACUCUCCAGAAAUAGAAGCUUGUUAAUACCCCAGAAAAUCCCCAAUACUCUUUCCCAUCACAACUAUCUCACCACAAAGGUAACCAUUUCUCUGACUUUAAUAUAGUCACUUCCUUAUCUUUGUUUAACCACCUAAGUAUGAAUCUCCAAAUGUUGUUUAGUUUUGCCUGUACUUGAAUUUUAUAUACAUGGAAUUAUACAGUAUAUAUUCUUUGGUGACCAGCUUUUUUUGCUUAACAUUGUGUUUGAGAGUCAAUUAUUUUCUUAUGUGAAACUGCAGUUCAGUCAUUUUCAUUGUGGUAUAGAAUUCUAUCACAUGGAGAGAACAUUAUUUAUUUAUUCAUUCUGCUAUGUAUGAACAUUUGGGUUCAUGAACACCCAAAUCCCAGUUUGGGGCUACUACAAAUUAUGCCAUCAACAUUUUUACACUUGUCUCCCAGUGCACACAGGCACACAUUUUCUUAGAAGUGCAUUGCUGGGCCAUAGUCUGCAGGUAUUCAACAUUCUUAGGUAACUCCAAAUUGUCUUCAGAGGUGUUUGCACCAAUUUACACUCCCAACACCAAUCCCUCAGAGUCCUAUUGCUCUAUAUUUCAGCCUACAAUUGACAUUGUCAGCUUUUAAAUUUUAACCAUUCUCCUGGGGUUUUUAACUUGCAUUUCCCCAAUUGCUGAUGAGGGUGAGUACCUUUUCAUAUGUUUACUAGCCUUUCAGACUUCCUCUUGUAUAAUUGUUCAAGGCUCUUGCCCAAUUUUCUCCUGGGUUGUUUGUCUUCCUUUAUAUUGUUUUAUAUAAAAGUUGUUUUAUAAUCCUUUAUAUUCUGAAUGCAAGCUCUUUGUCAAUUAUCUACACUGAAAAAAUCUUCUCUUGUUCCAUAACUUCCCUUUCAUUCUUUAAAUGGUGUUUUUAAUGAACAUAAAUCCUUAAUUUAAUAUUUUUUAAAUGUUUAGUGCUUCUUUUAAGCCUAUUUCCCGCCUGCUCCACAGUGCCAUCCCAAGUCAGAUAUGUGUAUUUGAGUAGGUCUGUUUCUGAACUAUUUCAUCCCACUGGCUCUUCUGUCUUUGGUAGAUACCAAACUGUUUCAAUUACUGAAUCUAAAUAAGAAGUCUUGAUAGGUGGUAGAGCAAGUCCUCUCCCCUGAGCUUCGUUUUAUUUUGUUUUCUUCAAGAGAAUCUUGGCUCUUUGCAUUUCUUUAUCAAUUUUGGAAUCAAAUUUGGAAUUUGUGCUUGUUAAAUUACCUAAGAUCUAGUUGAGAUUUCUAGUUUUCAACAUGGAGGUCUUACAUUAUCUUUUGUUACAUUAAUUCUUAGAUAUUUUAUGUUUUUGACGCUACUGCUAAUGGUAAUUUACAUUUUGUGUUAGUCUUUGAAUAUGUAACGGUAAAUCUCAAGAGAAUCCCUGUCCCCAAGAACUUCCAAUCCCUUGGGUUUGCAGACAGACAUAUUAAAUGUUUUAAUGUAAAGUGAAAUGGACUAGUUAUGCUAAGGUGGGCAGAAGUUACCAUGGAAACACAAAUGGGAUGGAUUCACCCAUUCUGUGGGGUCAUGGGCUGGAAGAAAGGGAAAGGCAUUCUAAGUGUUAAAAAUAGGUAGGAAUCAGCUGGUGUGACUACAGAGUGAGGCAAAGAGGGUAAGAGCACACAUUUUAUAUACACAUUUCAGAAAGGAUGUUUACGUGGAACACUUCUUGCCUCAGUGUUAAAUGAGGUGCCAAAACAAUAGAAUCAGAUGUCAGCAUGGGUGUGAAGCAAAUUCUCCUAUGGGCAUAAUUUACAAAAGGAAUGUGAGCAAACUAGUUCUAAGACUCCUGGACCCAUUUAGCCAGAUAAGGUUAUUAAAUGCUGUAAAAGUGUGAGUAAAGAAAGGAUUUGAGAAAAGUUUCUUUGGAGACAGCUGUUGCUGUCAGUACUGCCAAGCAAAUGAGACAUCAUGGGGGAUACUGCCUCCUUCUCCUCUGGUCUAAUAGUGAUGAGAUCUUCCAUGAGACCAUUCACAGAGUUUGAAAUGUGUUCCCUGCAAAGGGCUGGUGCUUGAUGUCCACCUGAGAGAGUGAAAGCAACCUGUGGCUGUCUUGGGAUGGAUGAUCAUUGCUAGAGUUUGUCAAAGGAAGUAAGAGGUAUGUGGGUGUUUCCCAUGGAGCAAAUGUGCACCACAUGGGAAACAGGGCAGGCUGACCCCAAUUGUCUGGGGCCUUUUACAGUAGGACUAAAUAGAAGGGCAGAGGGCCCUGACAAUAAGAAAUUGGAUAGAGAUAAAAAUCCAAUUUUGAGAGUCACAUGUGACUGCCUAGAAUAAAGGUACAUCCAUCCAGGUCAUUGAUACCAUAAUUAAGAAAUCUUCAAACAACUCACGGAGGGUCACCAGCUUCAUGCUUUAGUUGAUCUGUUAUAAAAAGUGAGCUAGCUUCUCCUAGUUUAUAUACCAGUAGCAAUCUGGUACUAAUUGUUCAGAUUAUACAAAGUAACUAGUAACCAGUAUGGAAAUAGCCUAAGCACUCUUGGAACCAGGUCCUCCAUCUAAGUCACUUCAUGACUAGCAUCCUGAGCCAUUAGCAAGUCAGUGAUAUUUUUCAGUUGUAUUGUCCAUAUAUCUUUCUCAAUCAGCCUCUAUUAAAAAGAGAGAGAGAGAGAGAGAGAGAGAGAGAGAUGUGCACUAGGCACCAGGAGAGAAAGAUUCAAGUUUAGCCACCUGCCAGAUUCAGAGAGUUUGAAGGCUACUAACAAGUAUGAACUUCCCCAUUCUUGACUUGUCCUGCUUUGGGCAGCUUUCACCCAGGUGGGGUCUGAUGCAGCUGCUGGUACACAGGAAGGAAGGAAGUGGGGACAGAGCAGAAGUCUACCACUUCACAUAUGGAGAGAACUCUCACUGUUUGAAGGGAGAUUGAAGCAUUUAAUUAAUCUCUUGAGUGGACACAUUCUAAUUACCAAAUUAGAUCUGUAACUUAGAGUGAGUAGGACUGCUCAUUAAGAAGUCUUGGGAUCUGUCCAAGUUUGCAUUGGAGGGCAGGAAAAAUAAAAUAAAUUUUCUGAAUAAAAAUAUUAAGGGCUAGUAUGUAACAAAAGCAGAUACCCCCCCAGAGUGUAAAGUACAUGUAAGAAAUGAAAAGCAAUACAAUUAUGACUGGAUCUAAGAUUUACAGAGGGAAUACAAGGAUUGAUGAAGUAAACUGGGCUCUGUUCAGGAGCUCAGCAAAGACUUUCUAUGCCAUGCUAAGGACUCUGGACUUCAAAGGAAAUGAAGCAAUACUGAGGAGUUUGUGCAAGAGAGUUUAAUAGUUAUUGGUUAUUUACUGUGUUCUAGGCUCUGUCAGUGGUUCACAUGAAUUAUCACAUUGUACCCUGCUUCAUGUCAGACUAGCCAUGCCAGAAAAAGUAACACAGAGUCACAUUUCUGAGUCUAUUUUUAAUUUUUUUUUAAGAUUUGUAUUUAUUUGAAAGAGAGAGCACAAACGGGGAGGAGCAGAGGGUAGGGAGAGGGACAAGCAG